rnacentral:tRNA from 1 species
GUGACGUUAGCUCAGUUGGCAGAGCAUUGGAUUGUGAUUCCAGGGGCCACCGGUUCAAAUCCGGUACGUCACCCCA